rnacentral:rRNA from 1 species
GUAACGAGCGCAACCCUUGUCCUUAGUUACCAGCACGUUAUGGUGGGCACUCUAAGGAGACUGCCGGUGGACAAACCGGAGGAAGGUGGGGAUGACGUCAAGUCAUCAUGGCCCUUACGGCCUGGGCUACACACGUGCUACAAAUGGUCGGUACAAAGGGUUGCCAAGCCGCGAGGUGGAGCUAAUCCCAUAAAACCGAUCGUAGUCCGGAUCGCAGUCUGCAACUCGACUGCGUGAAGUCGGAAUCGCUAGUAAUCGUGAAUCAGAAUGUCACGGUGAAUACGUUCCCGGGCCUU